rnacentral:rRNA from 1 species
GUACACGCUGUGACUAGCAUAUCAAUAAGCGGAGGAAAAGAAACUAACAAGGAUUCCCCUAGUAACGGCGAGUGAAGCGGGAAGAGCUCAACUUUGAAAUCUUAAAGGGUUUCCCUUUACGAAUUGUAGUUUAAAGAAGUGUUUUCUGUUGAGGUUUUGGUAAAAGUUCUUUGGAAUAGGACAUCAUAGAGGGUGAGAAUCCCGUAUUUGACCUUUACUUUCAACUUUGUGAUACACUUUCAAAGAGUCGGAUUGUUUGGGAAUGCAGUCCAAAAUGGGUGGUAAAUUUCAUCUAAAGCUAAAUAUUGGCGAGAGACCGAUAGCGAACAAGUACCGUGAGGGAAAGAUGAAAAGAACUUUGAAAAGAGAGUUAAACAGUACGUGAAAUUGUCAAAAGGGAAGCGUUUGACACCAGUGUUGUUUUUCUGAAAAUCAAUUAAAGAACUGUUUAUGCUAAGUUGUUUAGACUUUAUCAGCUAACUGUUUAGUUUUGAGCUUUUCUUUAAUGCACUUUUCAGUUAACAAGUCAACAUCAAUUUCUUUUGCUGUAAAAAAGCUUGAGGAAGGUGGCUUGAGAUUCGUCUUAAGUGUUUAUAGCCUCUUGCCUAUGCAGUCGGAGAGAUUGAGGUCUGCAGCGUAGAUCCUUCGGGGCUAAAUGCAUUUGUGCUAAGUUAUAGCAUUUUAUAGACAACUUGUUGACUAUGAUUUGUCUUGUAGCUUACUCGCUUAUGUUAUUUUACCUACGCUUAGGAUGUUGAGUCGUAGAGGCACGCAG